rnacentral:rRNA from 1 species
UACGUAGGGCGCAAGCGUUGUCCGGAAUUAUUGGGCGUAAAGAGCGUGUAGGCGGCCAAGCAGGUCCGCUGUGAAAACCUCGAGGCUCAACCUCGAGACGCCCGAUGGAAACCAUGUGGCUAGAGUCCGGGAAGAGGAGAGUGGAAUUCCCUGGUGUAGCGGUGAAAUGCGCAGAUAUCGAGGAAGAACACCCGUGGCUAAGGCGGCUCUCUAGUACGGUACUGACGCUGAGACGCGGAAAGCGUGGGGAGCGAACAACGG